rnacentral:misc_RNA from 1 species
UGCAAGAUAAAAAAAGGAAAAAAAUUUGCAAAGAUCAUGAUGAGAUGAGCAUUGGGUUCCCUUAGGCUUUGGAUGAAGUGGGCCUGCUUUUGUUCUUUUCUUUUUUCUUUAUGUAAUAUUUUUAACAUAUGGGAUUGUUUUUUGCAUUAAUGUUUGUGUAUGAUUGCUGUACAAGUCGCUCUCCAUCCUUCUCACACUCACAUAGGAAA